rnacentral:rRNA from 1 species
UACGUAGGGGGCAAGCGUUGUCCGGAUUUAUUGGGCGUAAAGAGCUCGUAGGCGGUUUGGUAAGUCAGGUGUGAAAUCUCCACGCUCAACGUGGAGGGGCCACCUGAUACUGCCAUGACUGGAGUCCGGUAGAGGAGUGUGGAAUUCCAGGUGUAGCGGUGAAAUGCGUAGAUAUCUGGAGGAAUACCGGUGGCGAAGGCGGCAUCCUGGACCGACAUUGACGCUGAUGAGCGAAAGCUAGGGGAGCAAACGGG